GGGAAGGGCUGUAGCUAGGUAGAGCAUCUGCCUUGCAUGCAGAAGAACCCAGGCUCACUCCCUGGCAUCUCCCU